CCGGAGGGUUCCCGGCGCGCACCCGGGUCUCCAGCGCGUCUCCUGCUCCAGGCGGGCGUCCCCCAGGGAGCCGGACGUUGACGUACCAGGCCGAGGGGGACGCGGGCGUGGCCGCCGGGACCAAGGCGCGGGCGGGAAGCAUGGUGCAGCCCGAGGCACCCGGGAAAGGAUUUACGUGGAGAUGGAGGAAGGGGCCACAAACAAAGGCAUGUGGGCGGCCUCUAGAAGCUGGAAAAGUCAAGGAAACAGAUUCUCCCCCAGAACCUCCAGAAGGAACACGGCCCAGCUGACCGCUUGAUUUUAGACCCAUGUUGGACUUCAAACCAACAGAACAGGAGCAUCAGUCAGGUGGAUUCUGCCAGGACUGGCCUGGUGGCUCAGAGGAAAACUGAGGCCUGGACAGUGGAGGAAUGGGGCCCUGGGCCAAAUUGUCGUAUGCGGUCAUGUCACUUGGCUGGGGCCUGAGGAAUCCCUGGAGAGCCGGCUGCUGGCGGCUCUCAGCUCUACUGAAUGGACGGGAUCUUUGCAGAUACUCCCAGUGUUACCAUGGCAGCCCUGCAAUUACUGAACAUUUAUAAAACAGGAUUUCAUUGACUAAAAUUGCUUUUUUAUGCAACUUCUCAGGCAGUGUGUAAAGGCCCAAGUAUGGGCGGUGAGGCUGGGAUCCCGAGCCAUGGGAGGGCCAGGGUGUCCUGCAUUUCUGACCCAGUAGACACUCAGGCCAAGUGCCCCCUGCCCAGCCUGACCCCAUGUCCAGGGUCUGCUGCCUCAGCCAGGGCCUGGACUAUUCUUGCUGGAAGGACUCCUGGACACCCUGGUGUCUGAGGGGGUAGGACCCUGAGGGACCUUCAGGACAGGUUAGAGGCAAGG